UACAGAGGUGGCAAGCGUUGUUCGGAAUUACUGGGCGUAAAGGGCGCGUAGGCGGCCUUCUAAGUCAGACGUGAAAUCCCCCGGCUUAACCUGGGAACUGCGUCUGAUACUGGGAGGCUUGAGUAUGGGAGAGGGAUGUAGAAUUCCAGGUGUAGCGGUGAAAUGCGUAGAUAUCUGGAGGAAUACCGGUGGCGAAGGCGGUUCUCUGGGCCUGUACUGACGCUGAGGAGCGAAAGCGUGGGGAGCGAACAGG
rnacentral:rRNA from 1 species